UACAGGGGGGGCAGGCGUUGUUCGGAAUUACUGGGCGUAAAGGGUUCGUAGGUGGCUUACUAAGUCAGACGUGAAAUCCCUCAGCUUAACUGGGGAACUGCGUCUGAUACUGGAAAGCUUGAGUGCAGGAGAGGAACGCGGAAUUCCAGGUGUAGCGGUGAAAUGCGUAGAUAUCUGGAGGAACACCGGUGGCGAAGGCGGCGUUCUGGACUGCAACUGACACUGAGGAACGAAAGCCAGGGGAGCAAACGGG
rnacentral:rRNA from 1 species